rnacentral:lncRNA from 1 species
GGAUAUCAUAGUAGCGGUAAGUCUAUUCGUUGCUUGUUUAGUGCUCCUGUCUGAGGGAAGUAUCAAGGAAGUCAGCUACUGUCACUACAUCUGCUUACUUGUCUAGUCGUGACUUGGCCCUAACUCAGGUGUCUGUAUUGAAUGAAACUCAUUGCUUUUGGGAGUCCUAAUUGAGUCUGUUUCAGGACUUAGCGCAUCAAAGGCAUCUAGAUAGCAGCCCUCUUCUUAACCCGGCCCGGCAUCAGAUCUUAUUCAAACUCUGGCUCUGGCUACUGAGUUUGGCUAAUGAACAUCUGUUUCAGGGCACCUCGCUCAUAUCUACCUCGCUUCCUCGCCUGCCUCCGCUCUUGAAACUAACCUAACUCUGGCAACAAAGAAAGAUUACACUCUCAAAGCAGCUUACUAAAUUGUCCCUUUCAAGCUUUGGCUAGUAGUUCCUCGUGAGUUGGUUUCCAGACCUUUACCUUAAACUAGUAGUUUCGUAGUUUCAUCUGUAUUAGUUAACUACCCGGGUAUUCACUAAAGAAUGAAGUGGGCUAUGGCCUUGCAGAAUCUCUUUUCGAAUGCUAAACUGCUGAUUCAACGUAUCAAAAGGCAAAGGCAAAACUUAAGUAUGGAGUGGGUGCUAGGGAUGGUCGAGUUGACCGAGUGUAUGAGUUGGACCGACCUGGCAGUAAGUGAUAGAAUUAGAGAUAGAAGGAUAAAGAUGAAAGAGGGUUACAGAUAUUAGGCUCAAAAUGCAUUCUAAGGGUCGUUUCCGAGUUUAGAUAAGUAAUUAGCUAUUCUCAAAGUGUCCCCUGGCUUAAACUGCGCAAAAGUCGACUACUUUCUUUGUUGACCGGGCAGUCAGAAGUGUACGAGUGGAAUCAGUUAUCUUUAAUCCUACAUAAAGAGAAGAUAUCCUUUUUUCAUCGGGAAGAUCAACUGCUGAAGUCAAGUAUCCGAACAAGCAAGAGAAUAAUUCAUUUAUUAGAGAAAUAGUGGGAAAGCCCUUACCUUAUUGGAAAACGAAAAGAUGCUAGAUGCAGAAAUAGACUCGUACAUCUCUUGCCCAUGUUACGGCUGUUCAGUUGCUGACCUUCUCUCUCUUGCCCACGCCACGUCCUUUUUCUUAGGUGUUUAAGCAAGAUUAUAGGAUUAGAAGAAUAAUCAACUAAUUCCAUUCUUAAAGCUGGAUCAGAGUAGGCUAAAGCGGAUGUUGGAUCGGGUUCAGAAGCUUGCUUAAUAAGGGAAGGAUCAGAUCCAAAGUGAGAAUUCAAGUAAGUCGGAGGGGCUUACUAAUAACUUAGGGCUUACUCAUAACCGCCGGACUUAUUCAACACUCUAAAACACUGGAGUAUAGACUGGGCCUAUUGACUACCCAGGACAGUACAGGUGCCCUUACUUACUAAGCGAGUCGACCCCAGAAGUUUGAGUGAAGUAUCCUUUCUUUAGGGGCUUAUCUAACUGGAAAUCAAUCUACAGGAUCAGAAGAAAGAGGUGGUGCGGUGUUAGAAUCAGAGGCUUAAGUUAGCAGUGCGGGUUGGUUACUUUUCUUUCUAGCAUACAGAGCGGGGGGCGAGUUAAGUAGUAGAGCUAAGUUCUUUGCUUUCAGAUAACUAGUCAUUCUCAGAGUUGCGGUAACUAUAGGCCCUAUCACUAUCAAAUGAAUUAUUCUCUUUAUAAAGGAGAAAAUGAGAUCUAUUGAGAAGGUGGUCUGGUCCUGUGAGUUGGAUGAGCCGAACUCCCCUUCCUAUUAUUCUUGGUCAAGUUACCGUUCUCCAGGUAUGCCUGCUUGGCCCCUACGAUUGGGUUUGGUGACUUCCAUUGCCCACCGAUACUGUUACUACUGAGUUGGAUUCUUUUACUACCAAUCUGUUACUACUGAGUGGGAAUUCCUUUACUUACUCCUCCGAUCGGGGACACAACCCAUUCUUUAACUACCGAGUGCAAUUCUGGAAUCCCUACUUAUGGACUACUUAGUGAAAUUCUGUAACUCCUACUUCCACUCAAGCUUGCUUCCUUGCCUGUUUAACGACUUGUACUAGACGAACUCUUGAACUCCUUUUACUAUACCUAUGGCUACUAUAUAAAUCUACCUUUCCUCUGGCUCUUGCAACUCUCACUACACUUUCUUAACCACUCCUUUGACUUUAGACCCGGGCAAGUAGACAAAUAAAAGAAGAAAACUGCUCCCCGGAAGCGCUAAACUCCAUUCUUAAAGGAAAGAAAGAGAACUACAUAAUGAAUGAAUUGGUUGCCAUUACCAAGUCCACCAAGCGUAUACUAGUAGGGAUUCCUCAAUUCUAUUUACAGAAUAGACUUAACGAGCACUUAAACAAGUAGUAGAGUAGUUUCAUCAGUAAAUCCAAUACUAUAGCUACUAAGAAAAGAAAGAAACAGCUAUGAUUUGAAACCCUUGCUGGCAACAGUGAACUUCCAGCUGUGACUCAUUUGACUUAUCGGGAUAUUUGAAUCGGUCACUAGCUUGGUCUAACUACGUGUCUUGUCUGCUUGGCUCAUCUGUGUUUCUCAAUUGUAAAAGAGUUAAGUAAACUCUAUUCUCUACCUUCUCUGACAACUAGACCCCUAUUGUCUGGCUAGGCUCAUUCUGCUGUUUCGGGACAUCUCGUCUCAAAGCCUUACUUCCCUUUCCUCACUUUUCAUCUAAAAACUAGGUUUUAUUACUGAACACAUGCGAUGGGUUAUACUACUUUAGUUGCUUGACCCGGUCUUAAACUAAUACUAAGGCAGCUAGUCGAGGAAAUGAUGGAUCUAUAGGCCAGUGAAUUCUUUAAUGCCAAACACCUUUUAUAGCUUCUGUAGUGAGUGACCUGGUAUCAGAAUGAGGCUCCCGAGCACAUAGAGUUCAAAAGGUUUAUUUAUUAUAUAUUAUAAGUACCGGAGCUGCUGUUAGUAACGAGUCAAGUUUGAUAGUACUGGCUGGCCCGGUUAAGGGAGGAUUCUCUUACUUGCAUUGCAAGGGAGUUUCACAAAUAAAUAAGAUGAGAAAUACCAGUGCUAGAUUCUUUCCCAGAUAUGGCUUCUGCAAAAGCAAGAGAAGCACUCCGUUUCAAGAACGGGAUCAUAAGCCUUAGAAUUGCCAGUUCCAGUAAGAUAAUAUGCUGGAUCAGUUGAAAACAUCAGAAUUUGCCUAAGUAGUAGAACUCGAGAAGCCAGUAACUCACCAAAACACAGGUGCUUAUGCUUCCUUACCAGCAUCUAAUCCCUCGCUGACUGCUUUCAUUGCAAUUGAUUCACACUCAAAACCUUAAUCACUUCCUAUCAUCUUAACCCUAGACUCUAUGAAAGAAUUCUGACCCUAUUGCCUUUUUCCUAGAAUAAUUGAUGUUGGCACCUAGCUUGAAACUGCUUGAGCAACUACAGUAAGGUUAGAGUAAAGUAAGCAAAUCAUAAGAGGAAGAAUGGAAUUAAUGCAACUAUACUAAUAAUGGAAUGAAUUACUAAUAAUGGAAUGAAUGCUACUACUAUAUACUUUCAAGAGGGAGGCUGCGGGUGGCAAGAAAGAGCUCGGGGGUUGGGCAAGGGCAGAUAGAGUUGGGGGCGAGUAACGUCUAGGUUCCGCAACAAGUCCUGUCUUUCUGGCUAAAGUGAGCUUACCUACAAACUCAAUACCCGGCCCGGCUAAGCAUGCCUUUAAGUAGAAGAGUAACUGGAGCUACACUCAUUCAUAUACUAACUUGUCUUAUUCAAAUACUUAUUACUUUUACUAAUAAUACAAAUACCGGUCUUCUACUCUGAUAUUACGACUAAUACUAAUAUAAGGGGAAUCCGCGGAUGCAACUCGACCGAGAAGAAGCGAAAGAGAACUAAUACUGAGUCACUCACUCGCAUUCAAAGAAAUAGAUGGAAUACAUAGAAUACUAAGAAUAGGGGCCAAGCAACAGUCAGAAUGAAACCAGUAAGGGCAAGAAUGAAAGUAUUUCUUUGCCAACAACACCCUACUUUAUCACUGCCCCUGCUCUUGUUCUUGUUGACGAACAUCAGUACUUCCUGCUUCUGCUCGAACUCAACUUUAUGAACUGACACAGAGCUUAAAUAAGGGCUGGCAAUUCUGCUGAUGAUACUGAUGAAAAUAAGGAUUCUGCGCCUUCUUUUCUUCUGCUUUAGUGUACUAGCCCGCUUGCUGCUUACUUGAGUGAGAGCAGCUUCCCCUUCCUUUGAACUAGCUUCUGCCCCUAUUGAACUAAAGAAGAGAGUUGCGGAAGAAAGAUCUUAUCUCUUUGGGCCCUACUUAUACUACCAACCAUGAUUCUUUUUCUGACCUUGGAACAGGUGCCAGAGGUAUGGUUGCCAUAGGGGCUGUUGAAUCCGUUCUCCUAUAGGCGGUAGUUGUUGGCGACUCUCUAAUUUCAUUCUGACUUGACUAUCCUCGUGCUAGUGAUCCUUCUCGCCUACCUAGUGCUCUAAGGUUACCAACCACCCCUGUGCUCUCUAUGAUAUCAGUUAUUAUGAUAUUUGAUUCCUUUAGCCCGAGGAGAUACCCGCGAGAGUUGCUUGGUCGACACAAGUGUCUUGGCUGUGAUUUAUUGGAUUUUGAUUCAUCCCAUUGGAUUCUUAAGUACACUCACUACUCCUCAGUCAACUAAUUCCAUUCUUCUCUUCCGUACUAAUUCCAUUCUUAAGUAAGUGACUUGGCGGUAUUGAAUGAAGCUCUAAACUCUCCACUCUCCACUCCUAUUUCACUCCUAACUCAGGUAUUUCAUUUCACUCCUACCUCAGGAGCCGGGUGCUCGCAGGUAGGGUUACAGAAUUGCACUGAUAGGUGAGCUAGUAGUUAAGUGAGAAUGCCACCGGUACUAACUGAGUAGCUACAGUAACAGUAUAAGAUUACAACUACUAACAUCAAGACUUAAUAGCUAACCAGUACUAACAACCAGUGCUAACCAGUACUAACAACAAGACUGAAACAAGUGGUAUCAAUACUUAAUCCCUAGUGGAUAGUUUCAGAAUUGACCUCAGUAGUAACAGUAUCGGUGUGCUUAGUAUAAGGCUUUGAAG